rnacentral:rRNA from 1 species
CACGUAGGGGACGAGCGUUGUUCGGAUUCAUUGGGCGUAAAGGGUGCGUAGGCGGCGCGGUAAGUCGGGUGUGAAAUCUUGGAGCUUAACUCCGAAACUGCAUUCGAUACUGCCGUGCUUGAGGACUGGAGAGGAGACUGGAAUUUACGGUGUAGCGGUGAAAUGCGUAGAUAUCGUAAGGAAGACCAGUGGCGAAGGCGGGUCUCUGGACAGUUCCUGACGCUGAGGCACGAAGGCCAGGGGAGCAAACGGG